GACAAAUGUGCAUGACUGCAGGUGCAUGUCACUGUAAUGUCUGAAAAGAGGAUUUUACUUUUAAAUUGAUUUUGGGAACAAAUGUGUCAAAUACAGGCUAGUCAUCAAAUUCCCCUAAAAUUAAUAUUGCUUACCUGCUAGGAGGAGGAACAGUGUACCCGGCUUCGCCAUGAUGGAGCACUGGCAAUAAGAUGUCUGAGAGCUGGGAGAGAGUUCACAUAGUAAAGUUUUUUUGGUUCACGCCGUAAACACUGACCUAAAUGCUACACAUUCCCCCCAAAAAGACUGGCUUUUUGUGACCUUAAGCAGUCCAAUGAGUCACCUGCAGAUUUGGAGUCUUUCAUAGCCCUGCUGUACUUAUCCAGUAUAGGCUGAUCGGACCAUGCUGGUUGGCCUUAAUUACAACCACCAUGUCCACAGUCCAGCCGGGAGAAAAGCUGAUGACACAGUUCAGUACAGCAAGGUGUACAACAAAAAGUCCAAGAAGUGGAG